CUCAAAAAGCCGUCUCAGUUCGGAUUGGGCUCUGCAACUCGAGCCCAUGAAGUUGGAAUCGCUAGUAAUCGUGGAUCAGCAUGCCACGGUGAAUACGUUCCCGGGCCUUGUACACACCGCCCGUCACACCAUGGGAGUUGGUUUUACCUGAAGGUAGUGCGCUAACCCGCAAGGGAGGCAGCUAACCACGGUAGGGUCAGCGACUGGGGUGAAGUCGUAACAAGGUAGCCGUAGGGGAACCUGCGGCUGAAUCACCUCCUU
rnacentral:rRNA from 1 species